UCUAUGCGUUUCCAUUUGAGUAUCCUGAAAACGGGCUUUUCGGCAUGGGACGCAUAAGUAAUUAAAUAGGAGUGCAUAGUGGCCCGUAUAGCAGGCAUUAACAUUCCUGAU
rfam:Erwinia billingiae strain Eb661 complete chromosome.